CCUACGGGGGGCUGCAGUGGGGAAUAUUGGACAAUGGGGGGAACCCUGAUCCAGCCAUGCCGCGUGCGUGAAGAAGGCCCUCGGGUUGUAAAGCACUUUCAGUGAGGAAGAACGCCUGGUGGUUAAUACCCAUCAGGAAAGACAUCACUCACAGAAGAAGCACCGGCUAACUCCGUGCCAGCAGCCGCGGUAAUACGGAGGGUGCGAGCGUUAAUCGGAAUUACUGGGCGUAAAGCGCGCGUAGGUGGCUUGAUAAGCCGGUUGUGAAAGCCCCGGGCUCAACCUGGGAACGGCAUCCGGAACUGUCAAGCUAGAGUGCAGGAGAGGAAGGUAGAAUUCCCGGUGUAGCGGUGAAAUGCGUAGAGAUCGGGAGGAAUACCAGUGGCGAAGGCGGCCUUCUGGACUGACACUGACACUGAGGUGCGAAAGCGUGGGUAGCAAACAGGAUUAGAUACCCUAGUAGUC
rnacentral:rRNA from 1 species